UACAGAGGUCUCAACCGUUGUUCGGAUUCAUUGGGCGUAAAGGGUGCGUUAGGGUCGGUCGCGCAAGUCGGAUGUGAAAUCUCAGGGCUCAACCCUGAAACGUGCAUUCGAUACUGCGUGGCUAGAGUGCUGGAGAGGAGACUGGAAUUUACGGUGUAGCAGUGAAAUGCGUAGAUAAUCGUAAGGAAGACCAGUGGCGAAGGCGAGUCUCUGGACAGCAACUGACGCUGAGGCACGAAGGCCAGGGGAGCAAACGGG
rnacentral:rRNA from 1 species